rnacentral:lncRNA from 1 species
ACAGACAGAUGACGCUGACUGGGAGACUGGUGGAGGAUCCCCAGUAAGACCAGAGAGCAGAUGAGCGGGGAGACUGGUGGAGGACCCCCAGUAAGACCAGAGACAGAUGAGCUGGGGACUGGUGGAGGACCCCCAGUAAGACCAGAGACAGAUGAGCUGGGGGACUGUGGAAGACCCCCAGUAAAGACCAGAGGAGCUGGGGGGAACUGGUGGAGGACCCCAGUCAGAGCCAGAGACAGAUGAUCUGGGGACUGGUGGAGGACCCCCAGUAAGACCAGAGGAGCUGGGGGACUGGUGGAGGCCCCCAGUAAGACCAGAGGGAGCUGGGGGACUGGGGUGGAAGACCCCCAGUAAGACCAGAGAGCUGGGAACUGGUGGAGGACCCCCAGUCAGGCAGAGCAGAUGAUCUGGGGGACUGGUGGAGGCCCCCAGUAAUACCAGAGGAGCUGGGGGACUAGUGACCCCCAGUAAGACGAGAGGAGCUGGGGACUAGUGGAGACCCACAGUAAGACCAGAGGAGCGGGGGAACUGGUGGAGGACCCCAGUCAGGCCAGAGACAGAUGACGGGGGACUGGUGGAGGACCCCCGUAAGACCAGAGGGAGCUGGGAACUGUUGAGGACCCCCUUAACCAGAUGAGAUGGGGGACUGGUGGUCACCCCCAGUAAGACCAGAGGAGCUGGGGAACUGUUGGAGGACCCCCAGUUAGACCAGAGCAGAUGAGCUGGGAGACUGGUGGAGGACCGCAAGUAAGAGACCAGAGACAGAUGAGCUGGGAGACUGGUGGAGGACCCCCACUUAGACCAGAGGAGCUGGGGGACUGGUGGAGGCCCCCAGUAAGACCAAGGAGCUGGGGACUGGGGAAGACCCCCAGUUAGACCAGAGAAAGAUGAGCUGGGGGACUGGUAGAGGACCCCCAGUUAGACCAGAGGAGCUGGGGGACGGUGAGACCCCAGUUAGACCAAGAAAGAUGAGCUGGGGGACGGGUGGAGGACCCCCAGUAAGACCAGAGGAGCUGGGGGACGGGUGGAGGACCCCCAGUAAGACCAGAAGAGCUGGGGACUGGGGAGGACCCCCAGUUAGACCAGAGGAGCUGGGGGACUGGUGGAGGACCCCCAGUAAGACCAGAGGCAGAUGGGGGACUGGUGGAGGACCCCCAGUAAGACCAGAGGCAGAUGGGAGACGGGUGGAGGAUCCGCCAGUAAGACCAGAGGAGGCGGGGACUGGUGGAGGACCCCCAGUAAGACCAGAGCAGAAUGGGACUGGUGAGGACCCCAGUUAGACCAGAGGGGUGGGACUGUGGAUGACCCCCCAGUUAGACCAGAGGAGCUGGGGGACUGGUGGAUGACCCCAGUUAGACAGAGAGCUGGGGGACUGAUGGGAAGGACCCCCUGUAAGACCAAGGAGCUGGGGGACUGGUGGAGGACCACCAGUAAGACCGGAGGGCAGAUGGGAGACUGGUGGAGGACCCCCACUUAGACCAGAGGAGCUGGGGGACUGGUGGAGGGACCCCCAGUAAGGACCAGAGGCAGAUGGGAGGACUGGUGGAGGACCCCAGUUAAGCGAGCGAGGCUGGGGGGACUGUGGAGGACGCCCCAGUAAGACCAGAGGCAGAUGGGGACGGGAGGGAGGACCCCCCGUAAGACCAGAGGCCAGGCUGGGGGAAGGAGCCCUGGGGACUGGUGGAGGACCCCCAGUUAGACCAGAGGAGCUGGGGGACUGGUGGAGGACCCCCAGUUAGACCAGAGGAUCUGGGGGACUGGUGGAGGACCCCCAGUUAGACCAGAGGAUCUGGGGGACUGGUGGAGGACCCCGGUGGACGAUGUCAUCGAUGCACUUAUUGAUGAAGCCAGUGGCUGAUGUGGUGUACUCCUCAUUGCGAUCUGAAGAAUCCUGGAACAUGUUCCAGUCUGUGCUACCAAAACAGUCCUGUAGUGUAGCAUCUGCUUCAUCUGACCACUUUUGUAUUGACUGAGUCACCGGUGCUUCUUGCUUUAAUUGUUGCUUGAAAGCCGGAAUCAGGAGGAUGGAAUUAUGGUCAGAUUUGCCAAAUGGAGGUCAAGGGAGAGCUUUGCACACAUCUCUGUGUGUGGAGUAAAGGGGUCUAGAGUUUUUUCCCUCUGGUUGCACAUUUAACAUGCUGGUAGAAAUUAGGUAAAACGGAUUUAAGUUUCCCUUUAUUAGAGUCCCCGGCCACUAGGAGCGCCGCCUCUGGAUGAGCGUUUUUCUGUUUGCUUAUGGCCUUAUUCAGCUCAUUGAGUGUGGUCUUAGUGCCAGCAUCGGUCUGUGGUGGUAAAUAGACAGCUACGAAGAAUAUAGAUUAAAACUCUCUAGGUAGAUAGCGUGGUCUACAGCUUAUCAUGAGAUACUCUACCUCAGGCAAGCAAAACCUUGAGACUUCCUUCCUUGCACCAGCUGUUGCAAAUACACAUAGACCACCACCACUUGUCUUACCAGAGGCUGCUGUUCUAUCCUGCUGAUACAGUGUAUAGACCACCACCCCUUGACUUACCAGAGGCUGCUGUUCUAUCCUACUGAUACAGUGUAUAGACCACCACCCCUUGUCUUACCAGAGGCUGCUGUUCUAUCCUGCUGAUACAGUGUAUAGACCACCAACCCUUGUCUUACCAGAGGCUGCUGUUCUAUCCUGCUGAUACAGUGUAUAACCCACCAGCUGUAUGUUUUUCAUGUCGUCAUUCAGCCACGACUCAGUGAAACAUAAGAUAUUACAGUUUUUAAUGUCCCGUUGAUGGGAUAUACAUGCUUGUAGUUUGUCCACUUUAUUAUUGAGCGAUUGUAAGUAGGCCAGUUGUACUGAUGGAAAAGGCACUCUCGUUGCCGGAUCCUCACAAGGCACCCGAUCUCCUUCCGCGACACCGCCGUUUCCCUCUCCUGCGAAUGACGGGGAUGAGGGCCUGUUCGGGUGUCUGGAAUACAUCCUUCUCGUACGAAAAAAAUGAUUUGUCCAGUUCAAGGUGAGUAAUCUCUGUUCUGAUGUCCAGAAGCUCUUUUCGGUCAUAAGAGACGGUAGCAGCAACAUUAUGUACAAAACAAGUUACAAACAAUGUCCAGUUCAAGGUGAGUAAUCUCUGUUCUGAUGUCCAGAAGCUCUUUUCGGUCAUAAGAGACGGUAGCAGCAACAUUAUGUACAAAACAAGUUACAAACAAUGCGAAAAAACAACAAAAUAGCACGGUUGGUUAAGAGCCCAUAAAACGGCAGCCAUCCCCUCCGGCGCCAUUUAUAUAUCUGUCUAUACAGCCAAUGACUCCAGGGAAGUUCCCAUAGUAAUAGAACUCUACCUUGUAGUUGGCUUGGGCAGCAGCAUCAGCGAAAUUGAUGUAAUUGUCGUUCAGUUCACAUAUAGACUUUGUGGACAUUUCUGCAUACAGUCAGUUCACUUACACUAAUCUCCUGUUUCACGAUGGAAGGUUCCAGAUGCCAAAAACCUCAAGGUGAUCAGCAGUUGUUGGGAAGGAGGGAUGGGCCUUCCCUGAAGAUAGUCAGAUGAAAGCCUUGGCUCAAGCAAACAAAUAGAUGCAUUUUCUUUGUACACACGGAAAAUGUCACAGAAAUUGAGUUCUUCAAAAUCAUUCAGUGAGUUGCUCCUGUCUUUUACCGCCCUUUUGCCUUGGAGGUGCUCUUUGAUGAUCAUUGAAAUAGUCCAGGUAAUACAUUUCCCUCCAUUGCCAAGUUCAGUCUAGGGGCCAACAUCCAUUAAUCUGAAGUUAAGCCUCUGGACAAGUCUUCACCUAGAUCUAGAUUAACUCUAAUCUUCCUUCUGGAAAUCAGAUGUUUUAAAUCUAGACUAGGGCAAGUGUGAAAAUAUUUGAAACCAUGUCUGAGAAAUUUAGUCUAGGAUUAGCCUUAAUCUGUGUCCAGGAAACCGCCCUACAAAUGGAUAACCUCUACAAGCAUGAAAUGGAAAUGUGCUUUUUACAUAUCCCAGUUUCCCCUGCGACACUGUCAGAGAGUGGGGUCACAGCCAGGGAACAGCCAUUAUUGACAGCGACCCUGGAGCAAUUAGGGUUAAGUGCCUUGCUAAAGGGCAGAUCAACCUAUUUUUCACCUUGAAGAUUCGAACUACACUGAACAAAAAUACAAAUGCAACAUGCAACAACUUCAAAGAUUUUGCUGAGUUACAGUCAAUAAGGAAAUCGUUCAAUUAAAAUAAUUUCAUUAGGCCCUAAUCUAUGGAUUUCACAUAGAAACCUUAUUUUUCCUGCUCAAUGGUCUAACCGCUAGGCUACCUGCCGCCACACCAAUCCACCUAUCAGCAUCCAGCAUCACACCAACCCACUUAUCAACACACAGUACCACACCAACCCACCUAUCAGCAUCCAUAACCCAUCAUUUUCUUUCUAGGGUUCUUUCUGCUCUGAUCUCCUCUCUGUCUCCCUCAGGCCUGUUUUCUAGGGUAUGAAUUGGCGUUAGAGUGUCUAAAUUGGCUGGCUCCCACCUGGUGAAGUCUCCUGCUAUGACCUGUCAUUAAGAGGUUGUAACCUGCAUUGACCUGUCGCUGUCUUCAGACUGGACUCUUCUCUUGACCUCAGUUUCAUGCUUCCCAAAUGGCACACUAUUCCCUAUAUAGUGCACUACUUUUGCCUAGGGCCUGUAGGUAAUAGGGCUCUGGUCAGUUUUGCACUAUAUAGGGAAAGUAGUGAACUAUAUAGGGAAUAGGGUGAUGGUUUUUGUUGUUGUAUUUAACCUUUAUUUAACUAGUCAUGGUUUUUCAUGACAACAACAAUGUGAAUUCUUGUCCUCCUUGUUGUUAAUGUGGUUCUAAAAAUAUAUUCACUGAUGUUUCAGUUUGACAUCUUGUCCUGUUUCGGUUUGACAUCUUGUCCUGUUUCAGUUUGACAUCUUGUCCUGUUUCGGUUUGACAUCUUGUCCUGUUUCGGUUUGACAUCUUGUCCUGUUUCAGUUUGACAUCUUGUCCUGUUUCGGUUUGACAUCUUGUCCUGUUUCAGUUUGACAUCUUGUCCUGUUUCAGUUUGACAGCUGUCCGGUUCAUUUGAAACAGCUUUGUCUCUGUUUUCAUUUGACAC